GAUGAACGCUGGCGGCAUGCCUAACACACGCAAGUCGAUCGGUAAGGCUCUUCGGAGUACACGAGAGGCGGACGGCUGAGUAACGCGUAGGAACACACCCUGCAGUGAGGGAUAAGACACCGAAAGGUGUUCUAAUACCGCAUACGGUCUUCGGAUUAAAGCAUUUAUGCGCUGAAGGAGUGGCCUGCGUCAUAUUAGAUAGUUGGUGAGGUAAUGGCUCACCAAGUCGAUGAUGUGUAGCUGGUCUGAGAGGAUGAUCAGCCAGACUGGAACUGAGACACGGUCCAGACUCCUACGGGAGGCAGCAGUGAGGAAUAUUUCACAAUGAGCGAAAGCUUGAUGGAGCAAUGCCGCGUGCAGGAUGAAGGCCCUCGGGUUGUAAACUGCUUUUAUAAGAGAAGAUUAUGACGGUAACUUAUGAAUAAGGGACGGCUAACUACGUG
rnacentral:rRNA from 1 species